UACGUAGGGGGCAAGCGUUGUCCGGAUUUAUUGGGCGUAAAGAGCGUGUAGGCGGCCAUGCAGGUCCGCUGUGAAAACUCGAGGCUUAACCUCGAGCUGUCGGCGGAAACCAUCUGGCUAGAGUCCGGAAGAGGAGAAUGGAAUUCCCGGUGUAGCGGUGAAAUGCGCAGAUAUCGGGAAGAACACCCGUGGCGAAGGCGGUUCUCUGGGACGGUACUGACGCUGAGACGCGAAAGCGUGGGGAGCGAACAGG
rnacentral:rRNA from 1 species